UUUUGCAAUGCGGCCCCUAGGAGGACGACGAUGUGACUAGAAGGUCCACUUCCAGAUCUUGACUCGGAUCCUGACCUGGCACACACGCGCGACGGUGGCCGCCGGCGCGGGCGGCGCCGGCGUGUCGUCGGCGGCCACCGGCUCAGGCGCGUCAGCCGCGGCCGCUGUCGCAGGUGCUUUAGCCGCGGCCGCCGGCGCAGGCGCUUUAGCCGCGGCCUUCGCUAGCUUCUUCUUCUUCGCCAGCGGAGGCGGCGCGGGCGCGGUCACCUUGAUGCCCUCGCAGUGCACCUGGAUGCCAAUCUUCUUGGUCUUGAGCCCGCCCACCUUGACGCCGGCCUUCGUCUCCAGG
rnacentral:lncRNA from 1 species